rnacentral:RNase_P_RNA from 1 species
CGGAGGGUUCCGCCGAGGAACGUCCGGGCUCCACAGGGCAGGGUGGUCGGUAACACCGACCCGGGGCGACCCGCGGGACAGUGCCACAGAAAACAGACCGCCGGCGUCCUCGGACGACCGGUAAGGGUGAAACGGUGGUGUAAGAGACCACCAGCGCCCGAGGCGACUCGGGCGGCUAGGUAAACCCCACCCGGAGCAAGGUCAAGACGAGCACCGUGAAACGUGCUCCGCGCGAACGUUCGAGGGCGGCCCGCCCGAGUUCGCGGGUAGACCGCU